rnacentral:rRNA from 1 species
CAAUAGCGUAUAUUAAAGUUGUUGCGGUUAAAAAGCUCGUAGUUGGAUUUCUGCUGAGAACGACCGGUCCGCCCUUUGGGUGUGUAUCUGGCUCUUUCUUGGCAUCUUCUUGGUGAACGUUGCUGCACUUGACUGUGUGGAGCGCUACCCAGGACUUUUACUUUGAGGAAAUUAGAGUGUUUCAAGCAGGCAUACGCCUUGAAUACAUUAGCAUGGAAUAAUAAGAUAGGACCUCGGUUCUAUUUUGUUGGUUUCUAGAGCUGAGGUAAUGAUUAAUAGGGAUAGUUGGGGGCAUUCGUAUUAACGCGUCAGAGGUGGAAUUCUUGGAUUGCGUUACGACGAACUACUGCGAAAGCAUUUGCCAAGGAUGUUUUCAUUGA